rnacentral:lncRNA from 1 species
GCUUCACAGACGUCAAUCAUUCCGUGGACGUCUCAUUUUCCUCAGUUUGCAGCGUGUUUGCAGCUGCGGUCGAAGCCAACGGUGCCACACAAGUGUAUUUUUCAUUUGUGUUGUACAAAAUCAAUUCAUGUUCUAUUAAUUUGUUGGGAGUUUGCUGUUCUAACGUUUUCUAGCCAUGAGCGUUGAGCAUUAGUAUUGUGUGCUUUGUUCGUCUUCUGACUGUGGCUAAGUGGUCACUUAGAUUAAAUCUACCACUCAACACAACCACUUAUUCGGAUUUUUGCCGUGGCCCACGGCCACCUAACGUAUCUGGAGUACGCAUAUGAAAAUAGUUGCCUGUGGGACAGUACGACAUCUGAAGAGGACAAAUCCAACGGCCACUUCAGCUGUCCAGUGUACGCGCACAACAACAGCUGCUUUUGGGGCAUGUCCACGUGUGAUGAGGCUGCGUAAAACGGACACAGACAUUGUUUGAAAUACGCGCUAGCAAAUGGUUGCGAGUAGGACGGAUGCAUUCCAUGGCAAUAGGCAGUAGUAUCUCCUUAGUUAUAAUUAUUUUUUUUAUUAUUAAUUUGAAUUUUAAAUGUUUAUACUUUUUUCAAUUGUAGCUCAUCGAGAUAGAUAAGAAUAUUGGAGAGCGUACUCCCUAUAUCUGCUACGUAAAAAAAAAAAACGGUCAGGUCACAACAGCCAGCAAUUGAUGCUAUCCCCUACACUGUACGACAAGAAACACCUACUCGCACCACAGAUUAUAUGAAAAUUUCAAUAUUUCAUAUAAUCUGUGCUUGUAUUUUGCAGUUAGAUGUCGCGUCUAUACUUUAGAGUAAUAUUAUAAUAUUAUUAUAAUUUUGUUUAGAUUGUAGGGACUUGGGAGUGUUUAUUAGAACAAACAAAAUAAAACAUAAUUACUUUUAUUUAUUAAACUUACA